CUUUACCUGAGAUCAAGUAAGAUUACCUGCUGAACUUAAGCAUAUCAGUAAGCAGAGGAAAAGAAACUAACAAGGAUUGCCCCAGUAAUGGCGAAUGAAAGGGCAAAAGCUCAGAUUGAAAAUCUUAAUCCUUUGAUUAAGAGUUGUAGUCUGGAGUUGA
rnacentral:rRNA from 1 species